rnacentral:rRNA from 1 species
UACGGGGGGAGCAAGCGUUGUUCGGAUUUACUGGGCGUAAAGGGCGCGUAGGCGGUCAGCACAAGUCAGUUGUGAAAUCUCCGGGCUGAACUCGGAAAGGUCAACUGAUACUGUGCGAGUAGAGUGCAGAAGGGGCAACUGGAAUUCUCGGUGUAGCGGUGAAAUGCGUAGAUAUCGAGAGGAACACCUGCGGCGAAGGCGGGUUGCUGGGCUGACACUGACGCUGAUGCGCGAAAGCUAGGGGAGCGAACGGG